rnacentral:tRNA from 1 species
AGCUACACAAGAUGAGCAUGUGCUUUGAAAGCACAAGAAAAGGAGUUUAAUCCUCCUAAUAACUU